UAAUUGGUAUUGCUUUUGUUUCUUGGCUUGAAAGAUUACUUGUGAUGUGAUGAAUUUUGUUAACUAGAACUAGAAUCCAAACUGGGUGUUGAACUCAGAGCUUUCUUGGAUCAGUUUCUUUCCUUUCAAAACUUAGAAACAUGUCUCCUAAUUUUGGAUGCCCAAACGAUCUAUAUUAGAUCCUAUUCAUGCAAUGCUGAUGCCUUACUAGCUUAUGGAUCACAUCUCUAAACUUGGCUAUGCCAGGUGGAAUCACAUUUUUAGUUCAGAAUUUCAAGUCCAGUCAGUAGAUUCAAUUGGAAGAGUUAUCCCUUGCUUAUAGAAUGGGUAUUAACUCAGUUGCCCUUGUCGGUGGAUUGAUUCAAAAUUCAAGUUCAAGUUCAAGCUUAUAAAACUUCAAGUUAUAAACAUUAACCCUUUGGAAUCAUGUUUCAACUGCCUUAAACUCGUAUCUAAUUCGAUUGUAAUUUUGAAGUCGAUAUUUAUUUCAGUUUGUUUGCCUGGUCUCCACUUUGUGCAAGUUCUGUGGAAAAUUUCUGAGUCCG
rnacentral:misc_RNA from 1 species